rnacentral:rRNA from 1 species
UAAUACGGAGGAUGCAAGCGUUAUCCGGAUUUAUUGGGUUUAAAGGGUGCGUAGGCGGAAAAUUAAGUCAGUGGUGAAAUCCUGCAGCUCAACUGUAGAACUGUCAUUGAUACUGAUUUUCUUGAAUACAGUUGAGGUAGGCGGAAUGUGUAAUGUAGCGGUGAAAUGCUUAGAUAUUACGCAGAACACCAAUUGCGAAGGCAGCUUACUAAACUGUGAUUGACGCUGAGGCACGAAAGCGUGGGGAGCGAACAGGAUUAGAUACCCUGGUAGUCCACGCCGUAAACGAUGGGCACUAGGUGCAGCGGGUGUCGACCCCUGCUGUGCCGUAGUUAACGCAUUAAGUGCCCCGCCUGGGGACUACGGUCGCAAGGCUG